rnacentral:misc_RNA from 1 species
GAUGAAGAACGUAGCAAAAUGCGAUAAGUAAUGUGAAUUGCAGAAUUCAGUGAAUCAUCGAAUCUUUGAACGCACAUUGCGCCCGCCAGUAUUCUGGCGGGCAUGCCUGUUCGAGCGUCAUUUCAACCCUCAAGCACAGCUUGGUGUUGGGACUCGCGUUAAUUCGCGUUCCCCAAAUUGAUUGGCGGUCACGUCGAGCUUCCAUAGCGUAGUAGUAAAACCCUCGUUACUGGUAAUCGUCGCGGCCACGCCGUUAAACCCCAACUUCUGAAUGUUGACCUCGGAUCAGGUAGGAAUACCCGCUGAACUUAAGCAUAUCAAUAACGGAGGA